AAAAGUUAAUAAGGGCGUACAGUGAAUGCCUUGGCACUAUUUGGCGAAGAAGGACGCGACAACCUGCGAAAAGCUAUGGGGAGCUGGAAGUAAGCAAUGAUCCGUAGAUAUCCGAAUGGGGGAACCCAUCAUCAAUCAAAUGAUGAUAUCCUACCGAUGAAUACAUAGUCGGAGAGAAGUUAGACCUAGGGAAUUGAAACAUCUAAGUACCUAGAGGAGAAGAAAGAUUUAAUCGAUUCCGUAAGUAGCGGCGAGCGAAAGCGGAGGAGCCCAAACCAACGCGAGUUGGGGUUUAGGACUACAGGAGUGAGGAUUUAUUCGAGAAGAAUGGCGUGGGAAAGCCAACCAAAGAGAGUGAUAGUCUCGUAUUUAUAGGAGUGAAUCAAGCUAGUAGCACCAGAGUACGGCGAGGCACGUGAAACCUUGUCUGAAGACGCGCAGACCACUGCGUAAGGCUAAAUACACAAUAGUGACCGAUAGUGAACCAGUACCGUGAGGGAAAGGUGAAAAGAACCCCGGGAGGGGAGUGAAAAGAAUCUGAAACUGUAUGCUUACAAAAAGUCAGAGGGCGUUAAAGCCUGAUGACGUGCCUAUUGAAGAAUGAGCCGGCGAGUUAUGUUAUCGUGCGAGGUUAAGUUGGAGAAACGGAGCCGAAGCGAAAGCGAGUCUGAAUAGGGCUUAAGUACGAUGACAUAGACCCGAAACCCGACGAUCUAGCCAUGAGCAGGAUGAAGGUGGGGUAGAACCCACUGGAGGUCCGAACCGACGUUCGUUGAAACGCCCGCGGAUGACUUGUGGCUCGCGGUGAAAUUCCAAUCGAGUUGGGUUAUAGCUGGUUCUCCCCGAAAUAGCUUUAGGGCUAGCCUCAGAGUAAGCUACCUGCUGGUAGAGCACUGAAUGAUAGAUGGCCGCGUCUAGCGGUACUGAUAUCAAUCAAACUCCGAAUAGUGGGCAAGUAUAUCUGGGAGUCAGUCUGUGGGAGAUAAGUUCCAUGGACAAGAGGAAAAGAGUCCAGACCGCCAAUUAAGGUCCCAAAAUCUAUACUAAGUGUCAAAGGAUGUAGAGAUGCAUAGACAACUAGGAUGUUGGCUCAGAAGCAGCCAUCAUUUAAAGAGUGCGUAACAGCUCACUAGUCGAGUGCCUCCGCGCCGAAAAUUUACCGGGGCUAAGUAUAGUACCGAAGUUGCGGAUUUGAGAAAAUGGUAGGGGAGCGUUCCAUCAUCGGCGAAGCGAUACCGGAAGGAGUCGUGGAGAGGAUGGAAGUGAGAAUGCCGGUGUAAGUAACGAUAUUGGGUGAGAAUCCCAAUCACCAUUAGACUAAGGUUUCCUGGGGAAGGUUCGUCCACCCAGGGUAAGUCGGGACCUAAGGCGAGGCUGAGAAGCGUAGUCGAUGGAUAACAGGUUGAUAUUCCUGUACCCGUAUAUAAGCGAAGUAAUGACAGAGAAGGCUAAGAGAGCUACCUAAUGGAUGGUAGUACAAGCGAAAUAGCAGGUGCAUAGGCAAAUCCGUGCACAGGAUGCAAAGCGUGAUGUGGAGCGAACGAGCAAUCAAGUAGCGAAGGAUCUGAUGCCAGCUUUCAAGAAAAGUUGCUAGCGAUAAUUAUAUGCGGCCCGUACCGAGAACGGACACACGUGGUCAAGGAGAGUAUCCUAAGGUGAGCGAGUGAACUGUUGUUAAGGAACUCUGCAAAAUUACUUCGUAAGUUCGCAAGAAGAAGUGCUACAGCGAUGUAGCCGCAGUGAAGAGGCCCAAGUAACUGUUUAACAAAAACACAGCUUUAUGCUAAGUCGUAAGACGAUGUAUAUGAGGUGAUGCCUGCCCAGUGCUGGAAGGUUAAAAGGAGAUGUGAUAAGCAUUGAUCUGAAGCCCCAGUGAACGGCGGCCGUAACUAUAACGGUCCUAAGGUAGCGAAAUUCCUUGUCAGGUAAAUUCUGACGCGCAUGAAUGGUAUAAUAAUUUGGGCGCUGUCUCGACAGCAGACUCGGUGAAAUCUUAAUACCUGUGAACAUGCAGGUUACCCGCGACUAGACGGAAAGACCCCAUGGAGCUUUACUAUAGCUUAAUAUUGAACAAUUGAAAUUCCUGUACAGGAUAGCCACGAGUUUGAGAGCCUUUUGAAACGGUUAUAGUUGCAAUA
rnacentral:rRNA from 1 species